CCUACGGGAGGCAGCAGUGAGGAAUAUUGGUCAAUGGACGAGAGUCUGAACCCGCCAAGUAGCGUGAAGGAUGACUGCCCUAUGGGUUGUAAACUUCUUUUAUAAAGGAAUAAAACGAGGCACGUGUGCCUUUUUGCAUGUACUUUAUGAAUAAGGAUCGGCUAACUCCGUGCCAGCAGCCGCGGUAAUACGGAGGAUCCGAGCGUUAUCCGGAUGUAUUGGGUUUAAAGGGAGCGUAGAUGGGUUGUUAAGUCAGUUGUGAAAGUUUGCGGCUCAACCGUAAAAUUGCCAUUGAUACUGGCAGUCUUGAGUACAGUUGAGGUAGGCGCAAUUCGUGGUGUAGCGGUGAAAUGCUUAGAUAUCACGAAGAACCCCGAUUGCGAAGGCAGCUUACUAAACUGUGACUGACAUUGAUGCUCGAAAGUGUGGGUAUCAAACAGGAUUAGAUACCCUUGUAGUC
rnacentral:rRNA from 1 species